rnacentral:misc_RNA from 1 species
GGAAGUAAAGUCGUAACAAGGUUUCCGUAGGUGAACCUGCGGAAGGAUCAUUAUUGUAUAACCGAGGUGCGAGGGCUGUCGCUGACCCGAAAGGUCGUGCACGCCCGAGUGCCCUCACACACAUCCAUCUCACCCCUAUGUGCACCACCGCGUGGGUCCCCCUUUGGCUUGUUCGGAGGGGGGCUUACGUUUUCACACAAACUUUGUAUGCAGUGUAGAAUGUACUUUUUGUUUUUGCGAUCACGCAAUCAAUACAACUUUCAACAACGGAUCUCUUGGCUCUC